rnacentral:misc_RNA from 1 species
AAAAACUUUUGCCCGCCGACCUUUGCGUCCAAGGCAAAAUACCCACACCUGUGUGCACCGUUAUCGUUCUUUGGGCAGGGGCUUGGGUCCUCUCACCAGGAUUCAACUUCUUUUCUGGCUCUAUCCUCUCCGGGGACAGCUGGACAUGGGAAGCCGUACCCUGCCAGGAAACUCACGCUUUUUUGUCUGAAACAUCGUUUUUUUGCGAUUAUUACGCAUAAACCAAAACA